rnacentral:lncRNA from 1 species
AAAAAAGUCCAAUAUAUUUAUAAGCUUUAGUAAUGGUUGUUACAUAAAUAUUUUUAACUAAACACUGGGAAAAAAAAAAGAUUUACUGUGAUAAAUGUCUUGAUCUACUUCAGUAAUCCUAAUAUGUUAAGCAAUUAGGAAAUGCUUGUAGAAGACACAAGGCAACUUUUUGUCAGCACAUUCAAUUUAUCACUUGUACUAGACCAAAUUUUGGUUACAAAAUGGCACUUUGAACAACAACACAAUGCUAGAAAAAUAAAAGGAAGCAUGACUGCCUCCCACAGAGCUCAAAUCAACACUUCCUAAAAGCUGCUCCUUCCACCGCCUCAGGUUGUCAUCACCCUGCACUUCAAUAUCAAUUCAAGAAGAACACAAUGAUAUCAGACCACACUUAUAGCAAGAAGGUGAGGUUAAAGGAGAAGCAGACCUUCUUCUCAAUCUCCAUCUUCUUCCUCCCUCCCCAUCAAGGUCGCUUCUUUCUCAGCACUCUCUCCAGUGGCCAACGACAUGGCAGCUUCAGGUCAACAAACACAGAACAUGAAGGCCACUUCUAGCGAGAGAUUGGGUUGAGAGUAGAUGCAGCUUUACCCCUCACUGGAAUUGCUAAUGAGUUAGUAGUAAGCUUACGAGGGUGUGACUUCCACACUUGUGUGCAACAUCAACUUUCUGAUACAUAACUGAAUCUAUGAGCAAAGAACAUGGUGUCUACCAGUCUGUUCUCUGCUAAGCUUACCUUAGUAUUGGAAUGAAGUAAAGAAUUUUGGGUGUGUAUAUUUAUGUGCUAAUAUAAGGUUUUUAAGACUAUUUC